rnacentral:rRNA from 1 species
CCUACGGGAGGCAGCAGUGGGGAAUAUUGCGCAAUGGGCGAAAGCCUGACGCAGCGACGCCGCGUGAGGGAUGAAGGUCUUCGGAUCGUAAACCUCUGUCAGCAGGGAAGAACGGUCACUGUGCUAAUCAGCAGUGAAUUGACGGUACCUGCAAAGGAAGCACCGGCUAACUCCGUGCCAGCAGCCGCGGUAAUACUGAGGGUGCGAGCGUUAAUCGGAAUUACUGGGCGUAAAGCGCUCGUAGGCGGUAUGUCAAGUCAAGGGUGAAAUCCCCGCGCUCAACGUGGGAACUGCCUUGGAAACUGGCAAACUGGAGUGUGUGAGAGGAUAGUGGAAUUCCAGGUGUAGGAGUGAAAUGCGUAGAUAUCUGGAGGAACAUCAGAGGCGAAGGCGACUAUCUGGCACAUAACUGACGCUGAGGAGCGAAAGCGUGGGGAGCAAACAGGAUUAGAUACCCGGGUAGUC